CGGGGGGAAGUAUAUAACUGAGGAAGUAGCCCCAGUAACGGCGAGUGAAGCGGCAACAGCUCAAAUUUGAAAUCUGGCUCUCAGGGCCCGAGUUGUAAUUUGUAGAGGAUGCUUUUGGCGAGGUGCCUUCCGAGUUCCCUGGAACGGGACGCCACAGAGGGUGAGAGCCCCGUAUGGUCGGACACCGAGCCUCUGUAAAGCUCCUUCGACGAGUCGAGUAGUUUGGGAAUGCUGCUCAAAAUGGGAGGUAUAUGUCUUCUAAAGCUAAAUAUUGGCCAGAGACCGAUAGCGCACAAGUAGAGUGAUCGAAAGAUGAAAAGCACUUUGAAAAGAGGGUUAAAAAGUACGUGAAAUUGUUGAAAGGGAAGCGCCUAUGACCAGACUUGCGCCCGGUGAAUCACCCAGCGUUCUCGCUGGUGCACUUUGCCGGGCACAGGCCAGCAUCAGUUCAGCGCGGGGGAGAAAGGCUUCGGGAAUGUGGCUCCCUCGGGAGUGUUAUAGCCCGCUGCGUAAUGCCCUGCGCCGGACUGAGGUACGCGCAUUGCAAGGAUGCUGGCGUAAUGGUCAUCAGCGACCCGUCUUGAAACACGGACCAAGGAGUCGUCUUCGUAUGCGAGUGUUCGGGUGUCAAACCCCUACGCGUAAUGAAAGUGAACGCAGGUGAGAGCUUCGGCGCAUCACCGACCGAUCCUGAUGUUCUCGGAUGGAUUUGAGUAAGAGCAUACGGGGCCGGACCCGAAGAAGGUGAACUAUGCCUGUAUAGGGUGAAGCCAGAGGAAACUCUGGUGGAGGCUCGCAGCGGUUCUGACGUGCGAAUCGAUCGUCAAAUAUGGGCAUGGGGGCGAAAGACUAAUCGAACCUUCUAGUAGCUGGUUUCCGCGAGUUUUCUCCCUCCAGAAGAACGA
rnacentral:rRNA from 1 species